GGGGACGUAAGGCAUUCGACAGAGGUUAGAGUAUAUGUAUCACAAGCAGAGUUGUAGCUCUUCAAAAACAACAAGAUAACUGCAAAAAAUACAGUUAACACUUUCUUAAGUAAGGUACAGGAGUUAGGUGCAAGAUUAACCUCUUCACUUAGUUUCUCUUAUUUAGGUUAGUUUAGUCUUAUUUAGACUAACGAUUAUUAAUCUUGCCCCUGAUCAGGGUUAGUAGUCGGACGUUAUCAGGGUAUAUCAUUUUCGGUUUCCGAUAAGCUGAAUUUGAUGAACAUUUUAUCGGUCAGGAAUAUUGUUCUUCUUGUCUUUAGAUAUUCUUGGUAAAUUAAGACAGGAUAAGCUUGUAUAAUGGUACAAUACAAUACUUUUGGACGUGGGUUCAAUUCCCACCGUCUCCACCA
rnacentral:tmRNA from 1 species